UAGUCCACGCCGUAAACGAUGGGUACUAGUUGUUGGGAUUUAUCUCAGUGACUAAGCGAAAGUGAUAAAUAUCCCACCUGGGGAGUACGGUCGCAAGACUGAAACUCAAAGGAAUUGACGGGGGCCCGCACAAGCGGUGGAGCAUGUAGUUUAAUUCGAAGCAACGCGCAGAACCUUACCAGUCCUUGACAUGUGUAGUAUGGAUUUCAGAGAUGAUUUCCUUCAGUUCGGCUGGCUACAACACAGGUGCUGCAUGGCUGUCGUCAGCUCGUGUCGUGAGAUGUUGGGUUAAGUCCCGCAACGAGCGCAACCCUCAUCUUUAGUUGCCAUCGGUUCGGCCGGGCACUCUAGAGAAACUGCCUGCGACGAGCAGGAGGAAGGCGGGGAUGACGUCAAGUCCUCAUGGCCCUUACGUCCUGGGCUACACACGUGCUACAAUGGUAGAGACAGAGGGCAGCCACCUGGCGACAGGGAGCGAAUCCUUAAACUCUAUCU
rnacentral:rRNA from 1 species